UGGGGAAUUUUGGACGAAUUGGGCGAAAGCCUGAUCCAGCAAUGCCGCGUGUGUGAAGAAGGCCUUCGGGUUGUAAAGCACUUUUGUCCGGAAAGAAAUCCUUGGCUCUAAUACAGUCGGGGGAUGACGGUACCGGAAGAAUAAGCACCGGCUAACUACGUGCCAGCAGCCGCGGUAAUACGUAGGGUGCAAGCGUUAAUCGGAAUUACUGGGCGUAAAGCGUGCGCAGGCGGUUUGCUAAGACCGAUGUGAAAUCCCGGGCUCAACCUGGGAACUGCAUUGGUGACUGGCAGGCUAGAGUAUGGCAGAGGGGGGUAGAACUCCACGUGUAGCAGUGAAAUGCGUAGAGAUGUGGAGGAAUACCGAUGGCGAAGGCAGCCCCUGGCAAGUACUGACGCUCAUGCACG
rnacentral:rRNA from 1 species